rnacentral:rRNA from 1 species
GACGAACGCUGGCGGCGUGCUUAACACAUGCAAGUCGAACGGAAAGGCCCUGCAUUUGUGGGGUGCUCGAGUGGCGAACGGGUGAGUAACACGUGAGUAACCUGCCCCUGACUUUGGGAUAACUUCAGGAAACUGGGGCUAAUACCGGAUAGGAGCUCCUGCUGCAUGGUGGGGGUUGGAAAGUUUCGGCGGUUGGGGAUGGACUCGCGGCUUAUCAGCUUGUUGGUGGGGUAGUGGCUUACCAAGGCUUUGACGGGUAGCCGGCCUGAGAGGGUGACCGGCCACAUUGGGACUGAGAUACGGCCCAGACUCCUACGGGAGGCAGCAGUGGGGAAUAUUGCACAAUGGGCGGAAGCCUGAUGCGGCGACGCCGCGUGCGGGAUGACGGCCUUCGGGUUGUAAACCGCUUUCGCCUGUGACGAAGCGUGAGUGACGGUAAUGGGUAAAGAAGCACCGGCUAACUACGUG